GAUGAACGCUGGCGGCGUGCCUAAUACAUGCAAGUCGAGCGAACAGACGAGGAGCUUGCUCCUCUGACGUUAGCGGCGGACGGGUGAGUAACACGUGGAUAACCUACCUAUAAGACUGGGAUAACUUCGGGAAACCGGAGCUAAUACCGGAUAAUAUAUUGAACCGCAUGGUUCAAUAGUGAAAGACGGUUUUGCUGUCACUUAUAGCUGGAUCCGCGCCGCAUUAGCUAGUUGGUAAGGUAACGGCUUACCAAGGCAACGAUGCGUAGCCGACCUGAGAGGGUGAUCAGCCACACUGGAACUGAGACACGGUCCAGACUCCUACGGGAGGCAGCAGUAGGGAAUCUUCCGCAAUGGGCGAAAGCCUGACGGAGCAACGCCGCGUGAGUGAUGAAGGUCUUCGGAUCGUAAAACUCUGUUAUUAGGGAAGAACAAAUGUGUAAGUAACUAUGCACGUCUUGACGGUACCUAAUCAGAAAGCCACGGCUAACUACGUG
rnacentral:rRNA from 1 species